rnacentral:rRNA from 1 species
AUACGGAGGGGGUUAGCGUUGUUCGGAAUUACUGGGCGUAAAGCGCACGUAGGCGGACUGGAAAGUUGGGGGUGAAAUCCCGGGGCUCAACCCCGGAACUGCCUCCAAAACUUCCAAUCUAGAGAUCGAGAGAGGUAAGUGGAAUCCCUAGUGUAGAGGUGAAAUUCGUAGAUAUUAGGAGGAACACCAGUGGCGAAGGCGGCUUACUGGCUCGAUACUGACGCUGAGGUGCGAAAGCGUGGGGAGCAAACAGGAUUAGAAACCCUAGUAGUCC